UUUUUUUUUUGUUUAAUCAUGCAAUAUACAGGGGCAAAUUUAGGGGCCGAAGGAGGUUCAUCCCCGUCGCCAGAAAAUUACACUAUACAUAUAAGGUAAAAUUCAAUUUGUAUCUCUAUAUAUUAUAUUUUGAAUCUUCUUGACAUAACCAAAAGCAUAGCUCAGUGGUCAAGAGGCGUCGGUUCAAUUUUCACAAGUCACAUUUAAAAAAAAAACAAAGUCCACCAUCUCAAUGGUGGAGUUAGGCCGGACUCCUGAUCAGCUCCAACCCUGCACCACUAUAUAAUGGUGAGGAGUGGUCGAUGUAGCUUUUACCCGAAAGGUCGGGAUCGAUAUCCACAGGGAGUUAAUAUUGGUUGAGAGUUGGGUUUCUAUCUAAUCUAGCUAUGUGUGCUGCUUUUAAUUGCACUUCUAACCAUGCUUGGAUUUGUUUUUAUUCUACGUUUAAUGCUAUUGAUUGCUGAAAAUAAUCUAAGUACAAUAUUUUUGUAUGAGUUUUCUCAAUUGAUAAAAAGUACUAGAGUAGUGACUUCUACCUAGGUGGGUAUCUAACGGGUAUCAAGAAUUCAGGGCAAGCUUGUUAUGAUUGGGGUCGUGAUAUAACCAUCAUACAUAAGUACUCACUCUAUACCUCUCGGUAGUUUGAGUGACUUUGCCCAAUUUGGCUUUCUCAAGUCCAAAUGGGUGUUCAUGCAAUACAAAUGAUAUUGGCUCAAGUCAGGUAUUACUAUCUCUAGCUUUAAUCCUUUAAUUGUGGCUAUCAAUCUCUUGAAUGCACUUCAAUUCCUUGUUAGCCUAAUUUUUCUAGACUUAGUCUCUCUUUCUCAAGAAGAGUCUAAGCCAUAAAGGCACGAAUCAGUGUUUGCAACCACCAAUUCUACAAUUAAAGCAUGAAUCAAGCUAAAUAUCACUAACCCACAAACAAUUAAGCCCUAAAAUUCAAGAUCCAUUAAAUACCCAUACUAGGAUUGGAUCUCAACCCUAGCUAAUGGGUUUAGCUACUCAUAAUCAAGGUAGAAAUCAAAGAUGGAGAUGAAAUAUAAGCCAUAAAAGUUGAUUACAAGAACAAAAUCAAAGAAUAUAAGCUAAAGCUACUCUAAAAUUACUCUAAAUGGUAAAGUACGGUUGUUCACGAGCUCACUGAUACAAAAGAUAACCUAAAAAUGUGAAAAAGAUCUAUUUAUACACACCUAAAAUUACUGGACAAAAAUACCCCUAUGGAGGUUCCGGUGUCAGCGAAAUACUGGAUGCCUCAGCGAAUGGACUUUCACGGCUACGCAAAAACAAGCACGGACCGUGUUUCUUCAAUUUUUUGCUUGGUUUGGACUUGGUUCGCGGACAGUGUAGAAGUCACCGCCUCCGCGUUAGCAUCAACGGCGGUCGCAUAAUUUGGAUGCGGACCGCGCUCCUCAGUCAAGCUCAACUUGCAGAGUCUUUGAACUUCCAUCAACGCUCUCAGCGGAAAUACCGCCACGGCCGCGUUAGGUAUUCAGCAAUCGCGUUUUUUUCAUCGCGGUCAGCGGUCACUAUUGUACCUAAAAUAUCUUCUCUGAAUCUCAUUUUCGCGGACCGCAUAAUUGUGGCCGCUUCAGUGGUGGUCCUUAUGCGGCCCCUCUUUUCCCUCACGGUCAGUGCUUCAGUCUAAGCUUUGAAGUUGUGCGAAUUUAACUUCUUCAUGAGUUGAUUAUGGCUUUCUUGCCUUAUUUUGACUAAACCCUGCAGACAAGCGCAUUAAAUCAGUUUUCAAAAAUACUUUUACAUAUUUUUUAUCCAAAACCUAAGCAAAAAAGAGCAUAAGAUAGGCUAAAAUCCAUAGUUAUCAACUCCAACCUGUAUAUUUCAAAAACUUUGAUUACACGGAGAAGGACAUACACUUUAGGCUCAAUUACAUAUUGUAGAUUGGUAGCCACCACUUUAAUGUGCUCUUGUGUGUAAGAAAUUGAUAGAAGUCUGAUGGACUCCUCUCUACUACUUGAUACAUCUAUAUAUUCUCAAUAGAUGACAACAAAUACAGAUAUGUCCCAAAUACUAUAUGUCUAAUCAUAGUAUCAAGUGGUGAUAUCAUUAACUACAAACAUAUUCCUUUUCACUCUAAACGUGAAAUUAGGUAUUCCCUCUUGAUCAAACUUCAAAAAAGCUCUAACCUUUCUAGAAAGGGAAACAGCUUGAUUGAAGAUACCAUGAGCUUUUGUGUUUUCUCGCCGGUUUGCCAAUUGAUAUGCAAUCUUGUUACCUUUCCUGAAAAUAUGCCUAAACUGAAAAUCUCCAGUUCGAGUCAAUUUCCAAAUAUGUUCAAGUACAUGUCUGAUAUGUCAAUGUGCCUUUAUUUUCCUAUUAAUUAUAUUGAUAAUUAAAACUGAAUCUGACUCCAUAACAAUAUUUUUCAAACCAUGAUGGCAACACAUCUCGAUGCCUUGUAAAAAUGCCUUUACCUCGGCAAAAUUAUUACUGCAAAUGCCAUAGAAAUCAGAAAAUGCCUUCACUAAUUCACCAUGAUGGUCUCUGAUAAUCCCACCUCUUCCAGCUAAGCCUGGAUUGCCUUUACUGCAGCCAUCCACAUUUAAUUUGACAUAUCCACUCGUAGGUUUCUUCCAGCAAACCAUAUGAGAAUGAAUUACUGGUGGCAUCUUCUCUACAACUAUGCAUUUGGCUCUCCAAGACUGAGGGAGUUAAAGAUUAGGGAAUUGACAAUUAAAUAUCAAUGCUAUGCAUUUAUCUUUUAAUUUCUUGACUAUAUUUUUUGAACCCGUUUAAUAGAAAUCCUACAUCUGCUACUGGCAGUAAAACACAGUAGCUCUACUAUUUCGGAUCCACAUUGUGUAUAUCCACUAUGGCACACUUGUAGUAAUUGAGAGCAAGAAUUUCAAUAAUAACACUGCUUCAAUAUUAUUUGUAAGCGGAUACAUGGAUGGACUUGAUUGUGCUAGGCACUUUCCUAAGAAACCAUUUUAGCAGUGUGAAACCUCUCUCCAGGAUUAAACAAGCCUACCUCUAUUAGGGAAGAUACAAGAAUCAGAAAUUAUUAAAUUACAAAUCCAACUAGUUAGUAGUAAAAAUAAAUAAGAAAGGAAACAACUAAUAUUUAAUAUUGGACAACAGAGGAAGAAGAGAGGCAUGAAAGGAAAGGAAAGAAAUGAUGUUUCUGCUGUUUUUAAAUUAGCUGAAGGGAAGACCCUUUUUAUAGGCAAAAAACUUAAAGCUUUUCUUGCCAUUUGUCAAGUUUCUUGUCAUUUGUCAAGUAUGAUUGUCAAGACUUGCAUGCAUCUUGCCACAUGGAUGGACAUUUGUCCACUUUUUUUGGAAAUAUCACAACAGUUCCCCCACAUAUUUUCAAAAAAUUCAUAAAAAAAGGAGUAAGAUUUGCUGGAUUUGUAUGGUCCAAAUGUAAUAGGUUUAGUGUCUUUUGGACUAUGAACCAAACAUAGAUCAAUAAAGUUUAACUCACAUAAUUACUUGUGAAAUAUAAUAUUUCUAUGAACAAAUAACUCUCAUUGUAAGUCAGAGAUUUUAUCAAUCACAUUUCGACCCCAGUAAUUUUGUUGUUCAACUCGGUUUUGCGCCCAAUAGGCCAUGUGUGUGCCUGGUUAUUCAUGAUAGCUCUAGAGACUAGGCCAAAAUCUCGUAGGAGCGGCCCCACUCUACUCUCAUAUAGUUGAAUUCAUCAAAUAUAUACUACUUUUAAAUACACAAUUCAUAAGGAAUAUGAAUUUCAUUAAGAGUUAUAACUCAACCUCUCAACUAGUUGCAGUCAAGCACUCUCUUUUAGUGUUUCAGUGUCAAUAUCAACUUGUUAUUACUCAUAUGAACCUACUUCAUGGGAUCUCCAAUCACAUAGGUUGGGUUACCAUCUCUAUUGACAUCAUAUCAGCAUUAACCCCAUCUCUUUUGAGGUUUGAAGAAUUAAUUUUCUUCCCACAGGUUUAGUCAGAGGAUCGGCCAAAUUUAUCUCUGACUUCACAUAAUCAAUGGAAAUUAUUCUAUCUCUCAACAACUGUUUUAUGGCAUCAUGUCUUUACUUUUACAAUUAUAAGAUUUAUUCUUUGCAACAUCUAUUAUCGCUUGACAAUCACAAUGCAUAGACACAGGAGGCAAUACGUCCUUUAUUAAAAGGAUAUUAGCUAAGAAGUUUCUUAGCCACUCAGCCUCAGAAUCAGCUAACUCCAGAGCUACAAACUCUGAUUCCAUAGUCGAUCUAGCAAUGAUCGUAUGUUUAGCUGAUUUCCACGAUAUUGUACCACCACCAAAGGUGAAUACAUAACCACUAGUGGAUUUUGUCUCAUCUAAAUCAGAGAUCCAGUUUGCAUCAUUGUACCCUUCUAACGUAGAAGGAAAUCCACUAUAUAGGAUACCAUAAUUCAUGGCUCCUCUCAAAUAUUUCAUUAGUCUAGCUAAUGCAGACCAAUGCUCUCUGUUGGGAUUAUGAGUAUAUCUACUCAGUCUACACACUGCAUAGGUUAUAUCAGGCCUUGUAAAAUUUAUUAAAUGCAUCAGACUCCCAAUAAUCUGCACAUAUUUAGACUGAGCAACUGAGUCAUCAUUAUUCUUUUUCAACUGAGAGAUAGCAUCAAAAGGAGUGCUCACAUAUGUGACAUUAAAAUAUGCAAAUUUCUUAAGAAGUCUCUCAACAUAAUGUUCUUGUGACAACAUUAUUCCAUAUUCACUCCUUAUAACUUUUACUCCCAAUAUUGUAUUUACUUCACCCAGAUCUUUCAUAUCAAAAUUAGCAGACAGAAAUAAUUUUGUAUUUUGUACAAUAUUUAAAUUUGUACCAAAUAUAAGCAUGUCAUCAACAUAUAGACAUAUUAUCACAUAAUCAUUGUCUACCAUUUUUGUAUAAACACAUUUAUCCACCUCAAUUGAGGAAAAAUCGUUUCUCAGUAAGACUUGUUCAAAUUUCUCAUACCAUUGCUUAGGAGCUUGUUUAAGGCCAUAAAGAUAUUUAAUUAAUUUAUAAAUUUUAUUUUCUUGUUCAGGAAUGACACAACCUUCAGGUUGAACCAUAUAAAUUUCUUCUUCUAAAUCACCAUUUAGAAAAGCAGUUUUGACAUUCAUUUGGUGGAUAAAAAGUUUACGAAUUGAAGCUAAGGCAAUUAAAACUCGAAGAGAAGAAAUUCUAGUCACUGGUGCAAAUGUAUCAAAAUAAUCUAUAUUUUAUUUUUGAGAAAAUCCUUUUGCUACUAAUCGAGCUUUAUGUUUAUCUAAAGAUUCAUCAGGAUUAAAUUUCUUUUGAAAAUCCAUUUACAUCCAAUAGGCUUUGCACCAGGAGGUAAAUCAGUUAAAAUCCAUGUAUUAUUUUUCUUAAUAUAAUCAAUUUCAACUUUUAUUGUCUCUUUCCAAUAAUUAGUAUCUGAAGAAGAUAUAGCUUCAAAAUAAUUUGAUGGUUCAUUAUCGACAAGAAAAGUUUGAAAAUCAUUUCUGUCACGACCCAAAAUCCAUUAAGGGCCGUGAUGGCGCCGGACACCACUGUCAGGCAAGCCAACACCAAGAAGUUAACUAAAUUCUCAUUUUAGUAUUUUUGAAAUUAUUUCUUUUCUUUACAUUAAACAAUAAAUAAUGAACUUUACCGAGUAAAUAAUAAUGUCUCUAACAAAUUUUAAAUACGGAAUAAUUCCAUAUACAUCACAGAACCCGGUGUCACAAGUGCAUGGGCAAUUUUUAGGAAAUAAAAUGUAAAACAAUAACUGUCCGGAAUACAAAUUGGACGGGGAAAAAAAUACAAUACUCUAAAGGAGACUCUACUGGCUGCGGGUCGUCGUGAGAGAUGUAGCUCACCUAAGUCUCAGUAUCAACCAUGCUGCUGCGCCCAACGGGGCCAGUAGACAUACGUGUGCCUGUGUAACAAAAAUGCACAGCAAGUGUAGUAUGAGUAUGAAAACAACAUAUACCCAGUAAGUAUCUAGUCUAAUCUCGAAGAAGUAGUAACGAAAGAUCGAUUUCGACACUUACUAGUAGUCCAAUAAUAUAAUAAGUCGUGGAUUUAUUAAAAAUGGUAGUAAACUCAAGGAAAUCAUGAAGCAAGUAAACAAUCCUUUUAAUUAUAAGAGAUUUCCAAAUUCAUAUUUCAUUAUUUAUUAAUUUACCUCAGACCAGGGAGGCAAUAUCAUUAUUUAUAAACUUCAAGGCAAGCAAUACAAGUAUGCACAAAUCAUGUCGAGAUCGUACGGCCCGAUCCAAUAAAUAUUUAAACUGUGCACUACCAGAUGGUCGAAUGGCACGAAUCAUAGAUGCAUCUAUUUAAUCUGUCGAGGCGUUCGGCCCGUUCCACAAAGAUAAACACAUACAUACAAUCAAUCAAGAAUUCAUCAGGAGACAAUCAUCCAAGGAAAUGACAAUUUCUCUUUUAACAGUCAAGAAAGUGAUGUUUAGCUCUUUAGAAAUUUAUUUACCAAGUUCGAUGUGAUUUAGGCCUUUUUAAAUUAUCAAUAAAGUUACAAGUAUGGCAAGUAAAGCAUACGGUUGGGUCCUAGACUACCCGCACUUAAGCAUAAUAGCAGCUAAGCACGGACUCUUGUCACCUCGUGCGUACAUAGCCCCCACAAAUAGAAGCACAUAUUCAAUUAUUUUACCUAUGGGGAAAUUCUCCCUUACAAGGUUAGAAAGGAGACUUACAUCGAUUUGAAGUUCCAUAAUCGGCUCCCAAGCCAUUCAAUCAACUCAAAUCAAUACCCAACGCUCCCAAGACCAGUCAAUAAAUGAGAAAAUCCAUAAAUGCAUGCUCUAAUACUCACAACAAUUCAAUUUAGAUAAAUUCCCAACUCCGUUCGAAAAGUUGACAAAGUCUCCAUCGGGCCCACGUGUCCGGAUUUCAUAAUUUUUCGAAGAUAAAGAUUACCCAUAACAUUACGAACUCAAUAUACAUUUUAUUCCCAAUUCCAUGUCAAAUUUCGUGGUCAAAAUCCAAAAAUAUCAAUUUUCUAGGUUUUUUCCUCAAACCCCAAAUUCUCACUACAUAAUCAAUGUAUUUAACUCAUAAUAGCCCCUCUCAAGAAGCUCCAAAAAUCGCCAAAAAAUGGAGAAAUGAGCAAAAAUGGCCAAUCCGCACCUGCGGACUCUUUCUCGCUUCUGCUCAUCCGCUUCUGCGGUGCUCCUUCGCACCUGCACCCAUCCACAAGGGCUAAAGUUUUUUCCGAUGUGAGUUUCAGGAGAACUUUACCCUUAUCCAAUACUUUGGUAGUACUUGAGUCUCCAAGGUAGACAACUUCUCUAUCAUCCUCUACAGGAGUAUAAGAGGAAAAUGCUUCUCGAUUUGCACAAAUGUGCCGAGUAGCCCCAUAGUCUAUCACCCAUUCUUUUGCGUGUGCUACAAUGUUUACUUGAGAAAUGGCAGUUGCAAUAAUAUCACCUCCUUCAGCUAAGUUAGCCUUAGGAGUAUUAGUUUUUCCUUUGUCAUUUCCUGCUCUAUACCUGCACUAUGAGGCAUGAUGACAUGGUUUUCCACAAACAAAACAGGAGCAUUUUUUUCUUUUAAAGUUAGGAUUUUUAGGCUUGUAACUUAGACUUAUUCUCGUACCUUUUGUUGUUGUUGUUGCUGCUUUGCACUAAAUUUGCUUUAAGGGCUGUCAUCGUAGCUUUGGCAUAUUCGUUUUUGUUGAAAUCUUCAAUUAGGAUGUGGGUCACAAUUUCCUAAAUGGUAAAAUUUUUCUGUUUGUGCUUUAAGUUAUUUUUGUAGUCACUUCAUGAGACAGACAGCUUCUCAAUCAGCACUCCAGCAACAAACUUUUUUGGAAUGACAUCCCCUUGGCCUUCAAGUCUUCCAACAAUUUUUGAAAUUCGUUGAUUUGUACGUUCAUCUCUUUAUCAUCUCUCAUCUGCCACUGAUAAAAAAUUUCUACUACAAAUUUUUGUUUUGUAGCAUCUUCAGCAGUGAAUUUUUUAAUUAAGGCUUACCAUAUAGCUUUUGCUUCUUUAUAGCUGCAAUAACGCCAAACAGUUCAUUAGAAAUAGUUUACAAUAUGGUAUGACGGCAUACCUUGUUGGAAUGUUGCCAUGAUUUUACUAUUUUAUUGUCAGCGUCUGCACUAGGUUGUGGAUGCAGCAAUGCAUGUGCAACCAUGGACAUCAAGCAGUGAGAAAAUAUGUUCUUGCCAACGCUUGAAAUUUUCAUUGGCGAAAAUUUUGAUAUUCGACACAUCUGGAAAUGGCCUGGCAUAUGAUAGUGCAACUGGAACUGGGGCAUCGGAGGUAGCACCAGUAUUGGUAGUAUCAGUAGUAUUUUCAGCAUCAGUGUUGUUUGCCAUAGUUUCUUAGAUUGUAGUAAUUGAGAGCAAGAAAUUCAAUAAUAACACUGCUUCAAUAUUAUUUGUAAGCGGAUACACGGAUGGACUUGAGUCGUGCUAGGCACUGUCCUAAGAAACUCUUUCAACAGUGUGAAAUGUCUCUCCAGGAUUAAACAAGUCUAUCUCUAUUAGGGAGGAUACAGGAAUCAGUAAAAUAUUAAAUUACAAACCCAGCUAGUUAGUAGAAAAAGUAAAUAAGAAAGGAAAUAACUAAUAUUUAAUAUUGAACAACAAAGGAUGAAGAAAGGCGUGAAAGGAAAGGAAAGAAAUGAUGUUUCUGCUGUUUUUAAAUUGGCGGAAAGGAAGACCCUUUUAUAGGCAAAAAACUUAAGGCUUUUCUAAUCAUUUGUCAAGUAUGAUUGUCAAAACUUGCAUGCAUCUUGCUACGUGGAUGGACAUUUGUCCACUUUACUUGUAUGCAUCUUGCCACAUGAAUGAACAUUUAUCUACUUUUUUGAAAAUAUCACAACACUUGGGGUAAAGCACUCUCUAUCGAGAAGUACUUUAUUUUCAAGAUUAAAACUCGAAAAGUUUGAUUAAUGAUGGGGUGAUUCACUGGUUGCCUAUCAUCUUUUUUAUGUAACUUAUUCAAUUCCGUGUGGAUUGCAAAAUGCUGAUUGAAAUUAGAGAAUUUGUUAAGCAGCAACUAGUGAGUCCACUCUUCUUUGUGCGUAUAAAAGUGAUUGUUUUAGAUAUCAAGAUUGUGGUAAGAAGUGGUUGGAGAAAAGUUACAAAAGAUCCAUGUUGAUUUUCUGCCAGAAUGAUGAUCCCUUUGGAUUUUAGCCAGCAACCCAAAAUUGAAUAUGAUUCUAUUGAAUGAAUCAGUCCAUCUUUCUUGUGAUAACCUUAUCCAUUUGGAUGCCAAUAGCAACUGAAAAAUUAAUUUAUUUAACAACCAAGUUCCAUUCCCGAGGUCGGUGUCUUUGCUUCUUCUAUUUGUUUAUUUUAUAUUAUUGUUAAUAUUCGAGUUUUUGUCGUCUUCUUUUUCCUUGUCAAAUGAGGUUGGUUAGGACUUGGUGCGAGGGUUCUAUAGUCUGUGGUCUAUUUAGGUAUAAUUAUGGAUUUAGGCAGUCGACAUAGUUAAGUGUUGGUUUGGCAAAUUCAAGUGAAGGGGCUUUGUCAACUUUCUUUGUCACCAAUUAAUUUAUCUUUAGUUAUGAUCUGUUUUCCAACAAGUGGCCAUAAUCAAAUGCUUGUUCUGCUCGCCAUCUACCCUAAUAUUUAUUUUCAUAUCUAUACUAAUAUCAAUUGUAUACUUAUUUUACCACUUAUUAAAUUAGGAUCAAUUAUGUAAUGCGAACAAACGAAUACGUUACGUCUCUCUAUACUUUUCUUCCUACUGGCCCAACUACUGUGCUAGUUGCGCACUGUGGCCAACAAGCUCGCCUUUUAAGUAAUUUAAUUUAAAGUCCUGUUGGACAUAUUCGUUUCUUAGAUGUCGGGGUAAUGCCAAUCUAAAAAUAUACAGUUUACCUUUGUUCGUCGUGUCUUUGAAAUGAAAUGAGUUCAAUUAAUUGCCAAAAAAGAGUUACAAAAAUUGGUUUGAUAAGCUAAUGAUAUUAUUAUUGUUCCUAUAAGCCAUAUGUGAUAUGUUGUUAAAAACAUAAGCAUAACAGUAGACCUUUUCUCUUUUCCUUCUUUAAGGUGGUUUGGUUCAUGGCUCAGGCUGAAAAGGACAUCAAUUAAGACAUGAACUAUUAUAGCAUUGACCAGGACCUGUCAAGGCAGAUUAGGCUCCGUUUGGCCAUAAUCAUUUUUUCAAAAAAAAAAUUAAAAAUAUCAUCAUGUUUUGAAAAAAAUAACUCAAACACAACUUCAACUUUUCUUCAAAUAAAAUGUUUGUCCAAUCACAACUUAUGACAACAACAACAGACCCAAUGUAAUCCCACAACUUCAAUUUUCAAAAACUAUUUUUCUAACAAUUUCAAAAACUCUUUUCAAAAUUCAAUCAAAUGUAUGUCCAAAGCUAGCUAGAUCUUUCACCAGCAACACAUAUAGGACUUCUCUCCAUAUGAGGUUUAUGCCAACCAUUCAGAGGUGUAAUUUAAUGCAUUUAGGAGAUAUAACAUAAGAAGAGGCAGAAAAUGAACCAAGUAUAUUUAAAGGUAUCAAUAAAUUGGAAAGGUUGAAUGUAAAUCUCCAAAUGGAGUAACCAAAUAAUGUAACUCUUGCCUAAUGAAUCCCUAACGUUGCUAGUGUUUCUAGCUCUAAAAUAACUCCUCCAAACGGAGAUCACAAUAAAAUUAUUGAGAAAAAUACACAGAUCUUUCUCAAAUAAAUCCUGGACCAAAGGAGGAGACCCACUUAGUGUGCCAACCUUCGAUAGCCCAACCGAUACAUCCAACUUUUUGACACAAGAAAACUGCUCAACGCUUUCCUCAG
rnacentral:lncRNA from 1 species